rnacentral:rRNA from 1 species
UACGUAGGGUGCGAGCGUUGUCCGGAAUUACUGGGCGUAAAGAGCUCGUAGGUGGUUUGUCGCGUUGUUCGUGAAAACUCACAGCUUAACUGUGGGCGUGCGGGCGAUACGGGCAGACUGGAGUACUGCAGGGGAGACUGGAAUUCCUGGUGUAGCGGUGGAAUGCGCAGAUAUCAGGAGGAACACCGGUGGCGAAGGCGGGUCUCUGGGCCGAUGAUUGACGCUGAGGAGCGAAAGCGUGGGGAGCGAACAGG